GAGACUUCAGAAUGUUACGGAUCAUUAAUGCAGCAUCUUGUUUUGAGUAAUGGCGCCUCCUAACAAUCCAGAAUUCUAUCAUACAGGCAAGUUUCUACAUAAAUUAAGAAUUGCUGGUGGACCUACUACAAGUUGAUUUGUGAGAGUCUACUUUCAUGAGGAUUUUCUUUUGGUGGAAGGAGAGAAGACAGAAGCAGAAAGGCACAGAGGCCAUGGAAGGGAAGAAGCAUGGAGGGUAUUGAAGGGGUCUGUCCCUAUCCACCAGUCCAGCCCCCAAGAUUUCUACCUGAACUAUAGGAGCAAAAGUGCUACCAGGGACCGAGCAGCUGUGGCAUUGUGCAGACUGGGAAGGUGUAGAGGCAAGAAGAGGCAGAGAAGAAAGACAUGAGGCACCUGUGCUGAGUGUGGCAGCAGCACGUUUCACAGUUUGUCAAGAGCCUUUUGAAUUAGGGACCUUCAGUUCAGAGGAAGCCGAGGCCAUGAAACAAGGAUGCAGCAAAGUGCAUACUGUGCCUGAAGGAAAUAGCCUGGAGAGAAAGUUUUAGAACACAGUGAGUCAGGAAAAAUUAAGAUCAU
rnacentral:lncRNA from 1 species